rnacentral:SRP_RNA from 2 species
GCUGGGCGUGGUGGCGCACGCCUGUAAUCCCAGCACUUUGGGAGGCCGAGGCGGGCGGAUCACCUGAGGUCGGGAGUUUGAGACCAGCCUGACCAACAUGAUGAAACCUCGUCUCUA